rnacentral:rRNA from 1 species
UACGGGGGAGCAAGCGUUGUUCGGAUUACUGGCGUAAAGGGCGCGUAGGCGGCACCGCAAGUCGACUGUGAAAUCUCCGGGCUUAACUCCGGAAAGGUCAGCCGAUACUGCGGGGCUAGAGUGCAGAAGGGGCAACUGGAAUUCUCGGUGUAGCGGUGAAAUGCGUAGAUAUCGAGAGGAACACCAGUGGCGAAGGCGGCUCACUGGCCCGAUACUGACGCUGAGGCACGAAGCGUGGGAGCAAACAGG